rnacentral:rRNA from 1 species
AGUGAACGCUGGCGGCAGGCCUAACACAUGCAAGUCGAGCGGCAGCGCGUCCGACCACCCUCGGGUGGUCGGAUGGCGGCGAGCGGCGGACGGGUGAGGAAUGCAUCGGAAUCUGCCUCGUUGUGGGGGAUAACGUAGGGAAACUUACGCUAAUACCGCAUACGACCUACGGGUGAAAGUGGGGGACCUUCGGGCCUCACGCGAUGAGAUGAGCCGAUGCCGGAUUAGCUAGUUGGCGGGGUAAAGGCCCACCAAGGCGACGAUCCGUAGCUGGUCUGAGAGGAUGAUCAGCCACACUGGAACUGAGACACGGUCCAGACUCCUACGGGAGGCAGCAGUGGGGAAUAUUGGACAAUGGGGGCAACCCUGAUCCAGCCGUGCCGCGUGUGUGAAGAAGG